UUUUAAAAAGUGGUUUAAAUUGUGUAUUUACUUUUUCAAUAGGAUACAACCAUAAUUAAACCAAGAAGUUUAUGAAGAAGGGAUCACUGGAUGUUGUCACUUUGGUACAAGAAACAGGAAAGGAUAUCAUAGACCACCUUACUUAUACGGAAGCAUAGGAGCUGUUGAAGGAAAUUGCUGCCAGACAGUCAGCAGUUAUCACUGACAGCCUGUCCUGGCCCAGCUUGGACCAUCCUCAAGCUAACCAUGAUGGUGUGUUUGCAAGAAUUGUCCAUUUGGUAGACCAUGAUGAAGACCAGCUUUGUUGUGGCAUGGCCUGACAAUACUGUACAAGCCAGAGACCAAAAAAGGGUUAAGUGGUGACUGAUCCUCUCACCCUCCUUAUCCAGGAAACGUUUCGGAACGUGUUGGCACUGAAGAUGUGGAGGACACAGAUUGAUCUCAGUACAUCCUUUGGAUACAUGGACACCUUCAACGGGACGACAACAAAACUGUACCUGCCUUUUUUUGAAAGGAAGUAGUUAAUAAAAUUAUUGUUAACAGCUUUUUUAGUCUUGUUGUUUAAGAAUGCUUGCAACAUUAAAGUGGAUAAACGGUUGUUU